AGUGAACGCUGGCGGUAGGCCUAACACAUGCAAGUCGAACGGCAGCACAGUAAGAGCUUGCUCUUACGGGUGGCGAGUGGCGGACGGGUGAGGAAUACAUCGGAAUCUACUUUUUCGUGGGGGAUAACGUAGGGAAACUUACGCUAAUACCGCAUACGACCUACGGGUGAAAGCAGGGGAUCUUCGGACCUUGCGCGAUUGAAUGAGCCGAUGUCGGAUUAGCUAGUUGGCGGGGUAAAGGCCCACCAAGGCGACGAUCCGUAGCUGGUCUGAGAGGAUGAUCAGCCACACGGGAACUGAGACACGGUCCAGAACCCUACGGGAGGCAGGAGGGGGGAAUAUUGGACAAGGGGCGCAAGCCUGAUCCAGCCAUACCGGGGGGGGGAAGAAGGCCCUCGGGUUGUAAAGCCCUUUUGUUGGAAAAGAAAAGCAGCAGGUUAAUACCCCGCUGUUCUGACGGUACCCAAAGAAUAAGCACCGGCUAACUUCGU
rnacentral:rRNA from 1 species